rnacentral:rRNA from 1 species
GACGAACGCUGGCGGCGUGCUUAACACAUGCAAGUCGAACGGAAAGGCCCUGCUUGCAGGGUACUCGAGUGGCGAACGGGUGAGUAACACGUGGGUGAUCUGCCCUGCACUUCGGGAUAAGCCUGGGAAACUGGGUCUAAUACCGGAUAGGACCAUCGUUUAGUGUCGGUGGUGGAAAGUUUUUCGGUGCAGGAUGAGCUCGCGGCCUAUCAGCUUGUUGGUGGGGUAAUGGCCUACCAAGGCGUCGACGGGUAGCCGGCCUGAGAGGGUGGACGGCCACAUUGGGACUGAGACACGGCCCAGACUCCUACGGGAGGCAGCAGUGGGGAAUAUUGCACAAUGGGCGCAAGCCUGAUGCAGCGACGCCGCGUGGGGGAUGAAGGCCUUCGGGUUGUAAACUCCUUUCAACCAUGACGAAGCAUUAUGUGACGGUAGUGGUAGAAGAAGCACCGGCUAACUACGUGCCAGCCGCCGCAGUAA